rnacentral:rRNA from 1 species
UAGAGUUUGAUCCUGGCUCAGGAUGAACGCUAGCUACAGGCUUAACACAUGCAAGUCGAGGGGCAGCAUCAUCAAAGCUUGCUUUGAUGGAUGGCGACCGGCGCACGGGUGAGUAACACGUAUCCAACCUGCCGACAACACUGGGAUAGCCUUUCGAAAGAAAGAUUAAUACCGGAUGGCAUAGUUUUUCCGCAUGGGAUAAUUAUUAAAGAAUUUCGGUUGUCGAUGGGGAUGCGUUCCAUUAGGCAGUUGGCGGGGUAACGGCCCACCAAACCAACGAUGGAUAGGGGUUCUGAGAGGAAGGUCCCCCACAUUGGAACUGAGACACGGUCCAAACUCCUACGGGAGGCAGCAGUGAGGAAUAUUGGUCAAUGGACGAGAGUCUGAACCAGCCAAGUAGCGUGAAGGAUGACUGCCCUAUGGGUUGUAAACUUCUUUUAUACGGGAAUAAAGUUAGCCACGUGUGGCUUUUUGUAUGUACCGUAUGAAUAAGGAUCGGCUAACUCCGUGCCAGCAGCCGCGGUAAUACGGAGGAUCCGAGCGUUAUCCGGAUUUAUUGGGUUUAAAGGGAGCGUAGGCGGGUUGUUAAGUCAGUUGUGAAAGUUUGCGGCUCAACCGUAAAAUUGCAGUUGAUACUGGCGACCUUGAGUGCAACAGAGGUAGGCGGAAUUCGUGGUGUAGCGGUGAAAUGCUUAGAUAUCACGAAGAACUCCGAUUGCGAAGGCAGCUUACUGGAUUGUAACUGACGCUGAUGCUCGAAAGUGUGGGUAUCAAACAGGAUUAGAUACCCUGGUAGUCCACACAGUAAACGAUGAAUACUCGCUGUUGGCGAUAUACGGUCAGCGGCCAAGCGAAAGCAUUAAGUAUUCCACCUGGGGAGUACGCCGGCAACGGUGAAACUCAAAGGAAUUGACGGGGGCCCGCACAAGCGGAGGAACAUGUGGUUUAAUUCGAUGAUACGCGAGGAACCUUACCCGGGCUUAAAUUGCAACUGACUGAACCGGAAACGGUUCUUUCUUCGGACAGUUGUGAAGGUGCUGCAUGGUUGUCGUCAGCUCGUGCCGUGAGGUGUCGGCUUAAGUGCCAUAACGAGCGCAACCCUUAUCGAUAGUUACUAGCAGGUCAUGCUGAGGACUCUAUUGAGACUGCCGUCGUAAGAUGUGAGGAAGGUGGGGAUGACGUCAAAUCAGCACGGCCCUUACGUCCGGGGCUACACACGUGUUACAAUGGGGGGUACAGAAGGCAGCUACACGGCGACGUGGUGCUAAUCCCGAAAGCCUCUCUCAGUUCGGAUUGGAGUCUGCAACCCGACUCCAUGAAGCUGGAUUCGCUAGUAAUCGCGCAUCAGCCACGGCGCGGUGAAUACGUUCCCGGGCCUUGCACACACCGCCCGUCA